UAGGGAAUCUUCGNCAAUGGGGGCAACCCUGACCGAGCAACGCCGCGUGAGUGAAGAAGGUUUUCGGAUCGUAAAGCUCUGUUGUAAGUCAAGAACGAGUGUGAGAGUGGAAAGUUCACACUGUGACGGUAGCUUACCAGAAAGGGACGGCUAACUACGUGCCAGCAGCCGCGGUAAUACGUAGGUCCCGAGCGUUGUCCGGAUUUAUUGGGCGUAAAGCGAGCGCAGGCGGUUUGAUAAGUCUGAAGUUAAAGGCUGUGGCUCAACCAUAGUUCGCUUUGGAAACUGUCAAACUUGAGUGCAGAAGGGGAGAGUGGAAUUCCAUGUGUAGCGGUGAAAUGCGUAGAUAUAUGGAGGAACACCGGUGGCGAAAGCGGCUCUCUGGUCUGUAACUGACGCUGAGGCUCGAAAGCGUGGGGAGCGAACAGGAUUAGAUACCCUGGUAGUCCACGCCGUAAACGAUGAGUGCUAGGUGUUGGAUCCUUUCCGGGAUUCAGUGCCGCAGCUAACGCAUUAAGCACUCCGCCUGGGGAGUACGUCCGCAAGGUUG
rnacentral:rRNA from 1 species